rnacentral:rRNA from 1 species
AGAGUUUGAUCCUGGCUCAGAACGAACGCUGGCGGCGCGGAUUAGGCAUGCAAGUCGCGCGAGAAAGGGGUCUUCGGAUCCUGAGUAAAGCGGCGAACUGGUGAGUAACAGGUGGGUAAUGUGCCCUGAAGUGGGGGAUAACACCGGGAAACCGGUGCUAAUACCGCAUAUGACUUUUCGGACCCCGGUCCUUAAAGUUAAAGCAGCAGUGCGCUUCAGGAUCAGCCCGCCCCCGAUUAGCUAGUUGGUGAGGUAAUGGCUCACCAAGGCUCCGAUCGGUAGCUGGUCUGAGAGGAUGGUCAGCCACACUGGGACUGAGAUACGGCCCAGACUCCUACGGGGGGCAGCAGUCUAGAGGCUUCGGCAAUGGGGGCAACCCUGACCGAGCGACGCCGCGUGUGGGAUUGAAGGCCUUC